GGGGCCGUCAGCUCUUCCCUUGCCCCGGAUUGCAGGGCUUCUUGGCUCAGAAAAUGACAGCUGUCUCUCGGAAUAGACGCGGAAGAAAACUGUCAAAUGUAGCAACCGUGACUAAUAAAGGGCAGGCUGGGCAGGUCUGAGGACCGUGCCCAAAAGGGAACCUAGGACCUAGGUGUGGGCCAUAGAGGUGGUGACUGUAAAAGAAAAGACUCUCUAACGCAAGAUGACAGCUCACCAUCCCACCAAGGCUUCGGAAGCCAGAGCUUGUGGGGCCUGGCAAGAGGCUCUGGGCUACAGGGCUCCACCUGGGUCCUCCCCAUUCCUCUCCCUGGUGACUCCCAGCCUGAAAGAAGCCAGAGGACUUUGUCAUCUGUCUACCCUGUGGUACCUUAGUCCUUUAAAUGAGUGUAUAAAGCUUGCUAAAUCUC
rnacentral:lncRNA from 1 species